rnacentral:rRNA from 1 species
UACGUAGGGUGCAAGCGUUGUCCGGAUUUAUUGGGCGUAAAGAGCUCGUAGGCGGUUUUGAAAGUCGGGUGUGAAACCUCCAGGCUCAACCUGGAGACGCCACUCGAUACUUCAAUGACUUGAGUUCGGUAGGGGUAAGCGGAAUUCCUGGUGUAGCGGUGAAAUGCGCAGAUAUCGGGAGGAACACCGGUGGCGAAGGCGGCGACCUGGGUAGAUACUGACGCUGAGGUGCGAAAGCGUGGGGAGCAAACAGG